CUUUGGGAGAAUAAUCUAAACCCUUGCAAACCAAUUGCCAAAGAAUUUUUUUCUCUUUGCUACCGGGACGAUUGCUUACUCAUUGCUACCGCUCUGGAAUAGAAAGAUUUAUUCUACCCCACGCAUCACGUGGUCACCCCAUUCGUGAUUAUUACUUAACAACAUCAUUCACCAGCCGAUACUACUCUACGUACCAGGCCCCUAUGACCUACAUGUGGAUGGGUUUUUUGGGACUUGACGCUUUACUCGAAAGUAUAGCGUCCGUAACACGGAGAGGUCACUGAAUUGUUCGAGUCCUCCGACGUAAACAUUACCAUGACUCAUGCGUAUGACUAACGCUCGCAGCAUAAUGAUGCUUAUGAAUUGCGAGAGUGUAUUUGUGUGAGUUGGGGGUUAAUCCAUCGAUAGGGUAAAAUACCGCCACAUUAUCGAUGGCUUCGCGCAAAUCAUUGAGCGAUACAAGCAAAUUAUAACUCCUCUACACGGUGACAUGUGUUGAAACCUGCUCCAUACGCACUGUCGUACAAUGGGCGGACAUAAUCCGAAUUCAAUUGUAUCUUAUGUAGGACAUUUGGUUGUUUCUAAUAUAAGGAAGCACUUUAAUUUUUGUUAAUAUCAGUUUCCGACAUACACAGAUUAUGGUUUUUGUUGUUUUUUUUUUUGUUGAACAAUUAGAUGAGUAGUAGCUAAGGAUUUUUGGUUUAACAUUACAAGUAACAGUAAUACAAGUUAAACACCAACAUAAAUAAAUAUUUCUUCGCAAAACAGUCGAUUAUAAUCAAUUAGUCUUAAAAAUGAGAUAAUGAAAAUAAGAAACUUCCUGUUGUUGUUAAAAUAAGCCUCUGUGUGGGAGAAUGAGUUCCAGCUCACCGUAUCAUCAUUAUUUAAAAAGAAAAAAAUAUAUAGUUAUUAAUUGUACAAAUUAGCACUGCAUUACCCACUAAAUAAACUAACGCAAAGAAAAACCAAACUUAUUUUUACGAUAAUAUUAUUUCAACAGUUCAGCUGUAUGUCCAAUGACGAACGCGUUGGCUUUCCAGCGCGGAGAAACCAGCUGAAGUUGAAGCGCGCGCACUGCCGUUGCCUAUGAUACCGUACGACGAUGAAGUUUGCGGUCUCAGAAACGAUUUGUCCGUCCAACGCGCAGGACACGUCGGCAUGAAUUCGCGGUUCCGAACUGGUGGCCUCUGGUAGUGAUAUACAUUCGCCCGUGGUCACGUACAUAUCAACAACCAACCAAGUUUGUGCUCCGAAAUGUGGUGAUUAGUUGGUGUUUUUUUUCUUCUUUCAAAUCAAAAGAAAAGACAACGGUUUUUCAUACAGGCGUUAUCGCUUGAGCUACACAUAAUUCACGACCAUCGGAUCGGAGUCCUUUUUUCUUUGUGGUUUUUGUAUGACUUAUGGUGAUCUCGGUGUUUCCGGUGUUUGCAAGCGCUUCCCGAUGAGUGACAAGUGCAUGUGAAUAAUUUUAAAUUUAAAUUUAAAUUUGUGAUAAUUUUAAAUUGAAAAAGUGAAGUUAAGUUUUGAGAGCUACUAUCAGUGAAAGUAAAAAAAAGACAAGACGCUACGCAACGACACAUGUUCCCUAAUAUCUUGGAUGUGGUGAAGUUUUGCUUGUGUUUUUUUUCUGCUACUGGUGCAAACACGUUUAUUAGGAAGUGCCGUUUACGUUAGCUCACCGCUUACAGCAUAGGUACGUGAUUUUUUUGGGUGACAUUUUUCAACAACUCCACGAAACCACGAAAGCAGAUUCUUCCAAUGUAUGGUGCACCGUAACGGUUCUUUUGUGCCGUGUUACAUUGCAGCUGCAAAUUUGGUAUAGGAAGACCACUUGAAACCCACUCAACAACCAUGUGGCUGCCGUACUUCACCGGAGUGAAUGUCCGAUCGAGAGGAUAUCUCGAGAGGAGAAUAUUUCGAACAUUACUCAUAGUCCUCCUGGCACUGGUGUGCCACACUGUGAUAGUGACGGCUGUGAUAGACAAACGUAGUGCCUUGGAUCUGCGUCGAUUGCGGAUGGCUGAAGAUCAUCUAUCUACGGAAGGACGUGCGGGCGAACAUUUUGUACUGCACGAUAGGAUUUUCCCAACAUUUCACUGCCCCCGCACGAAACGAGCCUUGCGCUCAUCAUCGCUGGACGAUGAUGACAGGCAGGACAGUACUCGGAAGCGGCCGAAUAAGCGUGGACCCCAUCGGGAGCGACUUACCGUGGAGUAUGCAAUGCAGAAUGAAACCAUGACUCUCGAUCUAACGUUAAAUGAAAACAUUCUCCCGGAGGACUACACGUUCGUGCACCAAUCGCCAGAGGGAAAGGACAUUAUUGAGCGCCUUGAUCGGCAGGCGGUGGAACUGUGCCAUUACGAAGGAACCGUACGCGAACGACCCGGUUCGCGUGUUGCCAUCUCGACCUGCAACGGUGCGAUCGAGGGUGUGAUCUACGAGCGAAACGAAACCUACCUCAUCGAGUAUCACAAUGAUACGCAUCUGUUGUACCGGAGACGCUACAAACGGGACACCCUGGACAAUGAGCUGGCGCUGGAAGAUGCAGGAAAUAGUGCACUUAACAACAAAACAGCGUUUUCCACUGGUUAUCGUGAGGAUGCGGAUUCGCUGUACGUCGAGCUGGUGCUAGUCGUCGAUCGGACGCUUUUUCUAAAGUUUAGCUCAAACGUACAGCGCGUCCAUCAGCAUUGUCUGUCGGUGGUGAAUGUAUUGAACGAACUGUACCGACCAUUAAACAUAUACAUCCUGCUCGUGGGCGUAGUGCUUUGGAACACGCGCGAUAACAUCGUCAUCUCGACCGACUCCAAACAAACGCUUACCAGUUUUUUAGCCUACCGAAAGGAUCAGCUGCUCCGACAGAUCCCGAACGAUAAUGCCCAUUUGCUGACGGCGGUACGCUUUCCGGACGGCGUCAUUGGCAAGGCCGAACUUGGUUCCAUGUGCAGCACGGCCGGGUCCGGCGGUAUUGCCGUGGUGGAGAACUUUGUCGUAACGCCACUAGCGACAACGAUCGCACACGAAUUGGGCCACAACUUCAACAUCGAUCACGAUUCGGAGGAGUGCGGUGGAUCUCGCUGUCCCGGACCGGGACCGUGCAUCAUGGAGGCGAAGUUGCGCGAUUCCGACGAUAUCCCAAACCGCUGGAGUACCUGCAGUGUGGAUGAUUUGCACGAGUCGCUCAAGCGUGGGCUUGGGGCAUGUUUGAAAAAUAAACCAACACGGCUACUAGUCCGGUCCGUUUGUGGCAAUGGUUUGUUGGAACCGGGCGAACAGUGUGACUGCGGUCGGCGAGAUAAAUGUGAUAAUAGCUGCUGUGACGCACGGACUUGUCAGCUGCAUGCAAACGCCACCUGUGCCACGGGGACCUGCUGUGAUCUGAAUACCUGCCAGCCGAAACAGGCCGGAAGCGUUUGUCGAAAGGCGCGAGGAGAAUGCGAUCUUCCGGAGUACUGUGAUGGACAGAGUGAACUGUGUCCGAAGGAUGUGUAUAUCCGCGAUACGAGUCCGUGCCGGAAGGGAGAAGCUUAUUGCUACCGGGGAGAAUGUAAUACUCGCGACACCCAAUGUCGACGUCUGUGGGGACCAUCGGCCCGCUCUGGGCUGGAGGUGUGCUAUGAGACUAAUGUGAACGGAACCGUUUUCGGCAACUGUGGUAACGAUCUGGCGACCGAUAAAUACGAACCCUGCGCAGCGCAUGAUCUCCACUGCGGGUUGUUGCACUGUACGCAUCAAAGCGAGAAACUUGAGUACGGUGUAGAGGCGUAUGCGAAGCGAACUGCCACCAAGUACCAGCACUACGGUCCACGCGGAACGGUACGGACUACAAUCUGCAAUGCAGUCAUCGUGGACCUUGGCCUGGACGUUGUAAAUCCGGGUCUCGUACCCGAUGGUACGAAGUGUGGUACGGGACGGAUGUGUUUCCACCAGCAAUGUGUCGCCAUCAGUCGCCUGCAGGAGGAGCAAGACAUUGGUGACGAGUGUCCCGAGAACUGCAACGGGAACGGGGUGUGUAACAGCGAGGGACACUGCCAUUGCCAUCCGGGUUAUGCACCACCAUUUUGCGACAGUCCCGGAAUUGGAGGAUCGAUUGAUAGUGGACCGGCGGAAAGAAACGCAAACAAUGUGCAAGAUCUGAUUUUGAAGGUCUUUGUGCCUGCUAUAACGAUUGGUGGUAUCUUGAUAAUAUGUAGUAUCAUCUUGCUAAUUGUUAAACGCACGUUGGUGAUGGCAAAACUUCGCGUUGUUUUGAAACGAUUUCGUGAGCGGAAGUACGGCCACAUUGUUGUGCCACCGGUAUCUCCGACCGCUGUUGCAGCUCCGGCCACAAUUACCACGACCGAUGGACAACGAAAAGCUGCUAAUGACAUACGACGGCCAGCGAUACCUCCUCCGCCUCCCAUUCCGGGUGCGAAACAACCGCAGUGCUUUAUUAACGUGAACAUCAGCCGGGAUGGAAAGCUGACGAUCGAGAAUAAGCUGAUCGAUUCUCCGUUCCUGCACAAACCGAGCGUUGUCGACACUCACGAAGCAUUCCGCAUGCGGCUACUGCAGGAACGUUCGUACAGCGUGGAAAGUUCCACAUCCUCCGAACAUCCGCUCGUGACAGCGGAAACGCAUAAACCGAGCCUUACGGGUGUAACCGAACCGGUAGAAGCAGCCCCGCCACAAGGGAAAGUGUUCGGUUCGGUACUGCAUGAGCUAAAGCAAACGGAUCGAAUGCACACCUUCCAGAGUCAGCGUUCUAAGAGUGAUGAAAGACCGUCAGCAAGACAGCUACCGAAGCUGCCCCGCCAAUACACGAUUAGCGACUUUGACUCGAUCGAACGGUUGCCGGAUGUGGACGAAGAAGAGCCACAACCAUCCCUUACAAUGCCCAAACCGAUCGCAAUUCCACGACCAUUGCCUCGCGUUACACCGGGAACUCAGUCACGCUUACUGCCGACAACGCCAUCGAACGGAAGCACUGCUCCCAAGGUGAAAACACUCAACAAUGGCGAUAAAGGUUCCGGCGUCCUAGUUCCAGGAAAAGUCUCUACCGGUACCAAUGUGGCAGCGCUGAAGGCAAAAUUGAAUCUCGCGGAAAUUGGUGCAAAACGAUAGGGAGCUUAUCACAUGGAACACGUCGCGCACGUGCGCUUGUACCAAACCAUAUCGAAUACGAGCAGUAUUGCAGCAAAUUGUAUUAUUUCCUUUUUUGAGCUACUAUCGUAACUUGCAAAAUUGAUUGUAUUUAAAAAAUGUUUAAUAGUAGUAGAUUUUAACCAAACAUAGACUGCAUAUUUAUUGCCUGCUUUAGGCAACAGUUCAUCCGUCCAUGGGAGUUUGAUACACUGUAACUAAGAAAGCAAUUUAUAGAAUGUAAGAUUGGUAAUAUUGUAAGAAGAUAAUGAUGCUACAGCGCAAUAAAAAAGAAAAUUGUUUGUCUAGUCACUUAAAAGAUAUUUUCUCUUUUUUACUUUGCACAAAACGAGAGAAAAAUGAAGGUUUGUAUUUAUGAUUUCGUUCACUAACAGAUACGAGAAGCAAUGGAAAUAAGAAAUGAUUUUUUUUUACUUAUGUUUAACGUUUUCCAAUCCAUCUUGAAACAAAAUUUGUGCUCAAAAAGUUUUGAAACGUGACUUUAAGUACAAAAUUGGGAAGAUAAUUCUAAAGUUUACCUGUUGUUCAAUUAAACACGUACACGUUUCAAUAAAAAACGAUUUUCAUUUUAAAAUAUGUAUCACAAAAACGAUUACAGAAUACAACCUAUAGCGUUGGAUGUUUGAAUGCUUUCAAAUGUGUGCUUAUUUUUGGGAAAGUUUAAUUUGGAUUUUAUCUCGUUUUUGUUGUGGAAACAAAAAACAUAGAUAACCGUCGAUUUCAAUGCGAGAGACAGCUCUCAAAGCGUUAUUUGUCAGUCUGACAAAACCUAACGCCUAUCGCCGCGUAACGCAUUGGCUAACGCGCAGUAACGCGUCAAGCUCAAGCUGUCAAAGUAUGUAACGAUUGUGCUGUCAUGGCUGUUGUUUUCAUCUUCGCUAAAAAUUGGUAUUAAUAAACAACGCGUCCAGCAAUAAGAUUGUGCGUAUGUAUGCAACAAACACCGAAGGACCGGCAUUCGAGCACAACUGGUUCAAAGCACGCUGGUUGGCUGCUCGGUGUCGCGAAUGCCAACUGAAACGUAGACUGCAAUACACAAAAGCGAUGAUCGAGAUUAAACGAGAGAUCAUGUAGAACCAAAACUGUAAACCUGAACGGAAACACCUCAGCAGCAAUAUUAACUAUAUGAACUAACUUCAUCACACAAAACACACUGGCGGUGUGGCUACGUGUCCCGGGGAAUCAACGUUUCGGUCUGACUAGUGAUGCAGAGCAGAGCAGUGAGCAAGAAUGAAUGAGUGAGUUAAUUCGCAUCCCCACAAAGAUUAUUAACUCAAUCAAACUUAAUAGCGAUUUAAUUCACUCAGGGAGAUUUAAACCCCAUGUGAGAUGAAUGAGAUUUUUUAAAAUCAUGAAUGAAAACUCUUUACGUUGACUAUCAACUCACUUUCACUGAGUGAGUUUUAAUACUCGCGAGUGAGUUGAUAGUCGCCUCAUCGAUAAUAUAACUCACGCGUAAAAAAAACUCAUCUCACAAGCAGCCUCACCUCAAUUGAAAAGACAAACAAAACAAAUAUAAAAAGGAAAAGCAAUGCGAGUGUACGAUAAAAAAAAACCAACUUCCCUCUUCCUUCUCUCUUUUUUUUAUGGAAGAUUCACCCUUUAAAGACCAACUCACUCUGCAUCAAUCUUAGUGAGUUCGCUCACUAGUUCCAUCACUAGUUCUGACUAAACGAAUCCUUCCACUUGGUAAUGUUGCAUACAUCGUUAGGCUUUUACAUUGUACGUUUUUUCUGUGGGAAGUGAAAGAGCAAACAGAGCAAAUAAAAAAAAAUACUUGAUUGAAUGUAAAACACAAAAUCUGUCAUCAACGGUUUAAUAAAUAUAAUAUUAACUAAAUGAAGUACA